CAGGAUUUAAAAGGAAACAAUCAAUAGUUUCACAGUAUUUCCACUUCAGGCAGAGAGUACACAGCCCCAAGGUGUGACUCGUGAUAACCAGGACAUUCUGAUGUACCAUUUUAGAAAUUAAAACCUCUCGAAGUUCCACCUUCGUUGUUUACUGGAUGCUAGAACAUUUGACUUCCUGUUACCAGUAGAUGGCGCUAUGACUUUGAUUCAACUUUACAUCUCUUCAGGCCCAGAGUCUCAUCAAAUAUGUGCAAAUUGGAAAGAAUCUGAUCAUGUCGAGCUACAACGGUUUAGUUGUUCUUGGCGAAGGAUCAACUUUGCAGAUGCUUGCUCUCACCACCGAUUAUCGGAUUCUUAUAAUAUUCAAAGUGAAGCUUUAUUAAGGUCUUAACUCUCUGCUAAGAACUUUUGAGAGGGAUCAGAUCAGCAGAAAAGUUGCAGGUCCUUUCCAGUGCGCGAGCUUCCUCCAGCUGUGGUUUUCUCCUCUGGGGUCCAUCCAAGUCCCCGCACCAAGUAUUACCUUUGAGGAGCAUAACCUGUGAGGAGCAGGGUGUAAAAUAGGACAUUCAUCUUCCUGUUGCCACCAGGUGGCGUUAUGACUAAGGUUAUGCAUGAUCAUAUAGUUGUCUACAGGGUGUAAAGUUCAUGCUGUGUGUAAUAUAUAUAUUUAUAUAUGUAUUACACACAGAGCCUAAGGUCUCAAGGUCACACUGCGCAAAUUUGAAAAGAAUCUUUUCUUUAAUCUGUGGGAGGAGUUCGGUCAUUUACAAUUUACAACGAAAUGAGGGUGUGUUCAGGGGUUCAAUGUUUACAUAUGCUACAAUACUGGUGAGGGCAGCCAAUUCAUUCCUAAAUUCUAAAUCUUGCCAGAUUAACCACACCCCUUGCAAAAUAGACCAUAUAUUCUCAAAACGAUGAGGUAUCAACACGAUUUAGGGAUCGGGGGGGCAUUGAACCAAUAAUGAUCCACAGAAAUGUAUCUCAAUCUCACACAGCGUUUAUAUUGGAUGGAAGAAACGCAUAAAACGUUACUGAAGUGAACAUUUAAUUCAGGGCUGUUGCGGUCCUCACACAGUUAAUAGGGCUGCAUGGUAUGGCCAAAAAGACAUAUCACGGUAUUAAGAAAGAUUCUGACGGUAUCCCUGUAUAUCACGGGAUUGCUUUUUCAAAAAACACAUUAAUUCAUUGACCCCAAAAAUGACCGGGCUGCUCACUGGCCAACUUGCUCGAGUUCGCUUGUAACCGGCGAGUUAGUUUGUUAUUGUGUUAGCGAGUUAGCUUCUUGUGCCACUCGCCGGUUACCCAAACAGCUGUUCGCUUGUCAGCGUGUUAUCUUGUUUCUUUAAAACUUGAGAGCCCUGAAGAAGCUUCGGCCGCUGGGCACUCUGAUGACGUGUGAAAAUAAAUUCUGCCGCCUUCCAAAGAGCAACGUCAGUUGUUAUGCCGUAACACCGGUAUGAACGGUACGUAAGAAAUUCAUACCAUAUGGAAAUUUUAUACCGA
ensembl:lncRNA